CCCCCACCCCCCACCCCACCAGAGGUCACUCAGAAGUUGGGUGCAUCCUGAACAUCUUCCCUGGAAAACUGGUUUCCAGGCAGGUCAGAAAAUGAGACCAGUGACAGCAUCUGGGAUGAUUCCAGGAAGAGGCUAAUAAAUCAGGCCCAGGAUGAAUCUAGCUACCCCGAAGAUGGAAGGAGGCAAGCCAGGAACUGACCCUUCUCAUAAUCCAUGUGGGAUUCAGACGUCCACUUAGCAGCAUCCGGGUCCUCUGAACGCUCCAGGACACUUCUUUGGAUGCCCAUGGAACGAAGGUCCCAGGGAAAAGCAUGGCUGUCUUCCUAAAGAACCACCAACCCUGAACAUUGAUUGGAAGGACUGAUGCUGAAGCUGAAGCUCCAAUACUUUGGCCAGCUGAUGCAAAGAGCCGACUCAUUGGAAAAGAC